GCCGCUGUGGCGGAAUUGGCAGACGCAAGGGACUUAAAAUCCCUCGCUGGUUUACAGCGUACCGGUUCAAGCCCGGUCAGCGGCACCA
rnacentral:tRNA from 2 species